rnacentral:rRNA from 1 species
GAUGAACGCUGGCGGCGUGCCUAAUACAUGCAAGUCGAGCGAAUGGAUUAAGAGCUUGCUCCUAUGAAGUUAGCGGCGGACGGGUGAGUAACACGUGGGUAACCUGCCCAUAAGACUGGGAUAACUCCGGGAAACCGGGGCUAAUACCGGAUAACAUUUUGAACCGCAUGGUUCGAAAUUGAAAGGCGGCUUCGGCUGGAACUUAUGGAUGGACCCGCGUCGCAUUAGCUAGUUGGUGAGGUAACGGCUCACCAAGGCAACGAUGCGUAGCCGACCUGAGAGGGUGAUCGGCCACACUGGGACUGAGACACGGCCCAGACUCCUACGGGAGGCAGCAGUAGGGAAUCUUCCGCAAUGGACGAAAGUCUGACGGAGCAACGCCGCGUGAGUGAUGAAGGCUUUCGGGUCGUAAAACUCUGUUGUUAGGGAAGAACAAGUGCUAGUUGAAUAAGCUGGCACCUUGACGGUACCUAACCAGAAAGCCACGGCUAACUACGUGCCAGCCGCCGCCGUAA